rnacentral:rRNA from 1 species
AGCAUAUCAAUAAGCGGAGGAAAAGAAACUAACAAGGAUUCCCUUAGUAACGGCGAGCGAACCGGGAAGAGCUCAAAUUUGAAAUCUGGCGUCCUUUGGGCGUCCGAGUUGUAAUCUAUAGAGGCGUUUUCCGUGCCGGACCGUGUCCAAGUCCCUUGGAACAGGGUAUCAAAGAGGGUGACAAUCCCGUACUUGACACGACCACCGGUGCUCUGUGAUACGUCUUCUGCGAGUCGAGUUGUUUGGGAAUGCAGCUCAAAACGGGUGGUAAACUCCAUCUAAAGCUAAAUAUUGGUGGGAGACCGAUAGCGAACAAGUACCGUGAGGGAAAGAUGAAAAGCACUUUGGAAAGAGAGUUAAACAGUAUGUGAAAUUGUUGAAAGGGAAACGAUUGAAGUCAGUCGUGUUCAUUGGACUCAGCCGGCCCUGCCGGUCUACUUCCUUUGAACGGGUCAACAUCGGUUCUGGUCGGCGGAUAAGGGCGGGAGGAAAGUAGCACCCCUCGGGGUGUGUUAUAGCCUCCUGUCGCAUACGCUGGUCGGGACCGAGGAACGCAGCUCGCCUUUAUGGCCGGGGUUCGCCCACGUCCGAGCUUAGGAUGUUGACAUAAUGGCUUUAAACGACCCGUCU